rnacentral:rRNA from 1 species
GCAAGUCGCGCGAACAGACGAAGUGCUUGCACUUCUGACGUUAGCUGCGCACGGGUGAGUAACACGUAAGGAAUCUACCUAUAGGCGGGGGAUAACAUUCGGAAACGGGUGCUAAUACCGCAUAAUAUCUUCUUCCGCAUGGAAGAAGAUUGAAAGACGGCUCUGCGGUCACUUAUAGAUGACCUUGCGGUGCAUUAGUUAGUUGGUGGGGUAAAGGCCUACCAAGACGAUGAUGCAUAGCCGACCUGAGAGGGUGAUC